rnacentral:sRNA from 1 species
CUCAAGAUCCCGGAGACUGAAAUCUACUAUUUAUCCACAUGACAGCUACAGCAUGGGGGCAGCAGUGUAAGCUCCCACGCCAUGGAUCACAACCUUGAUCUAGAAGGACUGCCUCUAUGUAGUUUAUUUUCAAUGGAUCAUUCAGUUCUUUGCCUUUGCUGAAACUGUCAGUAAG